UCAAGCUCAGUACAGCUUUUAAGAAUAUUGAUUUAGAUUAGAAUUCAUUUAUAAUAUUGAAACUAAUAACCUAUAAACACAUUUAUUAUGAUAAAAGUUGUAAAUCAACUCAUUAACUAAAUAUAGUGCCAGCAGUUGCGGUUAUACUAUAAAUGAACUUGUACAAUUAUUUUCUUAUAAUUUUUUUUUUUAAAAAUAUUAAAUAUUAAGUGAAAUUUUAUUUUUUAUUUAUAAAAAUUUUUCUAUAGAAGAAAUUAAAAAUUUAAAACAGGAUUAGAUACCCUUUUAUAUUUUAUUAAUUUAGGUAGUAUUAUUAUAUUAAAAAACUAUUGUAGUUUGGCGGCAUUUAUUCAUAUUAGAGGAACCUGUUUUUUAAUCGAUUUUCCACGAUAUUUUUCACUUUUAUUAAUAUUUUAUAUACCUCCAUCUUAAGGAUUAAUAAUUAUAUUUUCUUCAAAAUAGACCUCCUAGUAAAUUAGGUAAAGGUGUAAACUAUAUAAAAGAUAAAAUGGGUUACCUUAAAUCUCAUUUAAGGAUAUAUAAUUAAAAUUAUAUUUUGAAAAAGGAUUUAUUAGUAAUUUUUAAAUAAUAAUUUUUAAUGAAACUGAUAAACAAUGUGCACAUAUCGCCCGUCACCCUUAUCUAAAGGUAAGGUAAGUCGUAACACAGUUGAUGUUUUGGAAAAAGCAUCAAG
rnacentral:rRNA from 1 species